GAUGAACGCUGGCGGCGUGCCUAAUACAUGCAAGUCGAGCGAACAGACGAGGAGCUUGCUCCUCUGACGUUAGCGGCGGACGGGUGAGUAACACGUGGAUAACCUACCUAUAAGACUGGGAUAACUUCGGGAAACCGGAUCUAAUACCGGAUAAUAUAUUGAACCGCAUGGUUCAAUAGUGAAAGACGGUUUUGCUGUAACUUAUAGAUGGAUCCGCGCCGCAUUAGCUAGUUGGUAAGGUAACGGCUUACCAAGGCAACGAUGCGUAGCCGACCUGAGAGGGUGAUCGGCCACACUGGAACUGAGACACGGUCCAGACUCCUACGGGAGGCAGCAGUAGGUAAUCUUCCGCAAUGGGCGAAAGCCUGACGGAGCAACGCCGCGUGAGUGAUGAAGGUCUUCGGAUCGUAAACUCUGUUAUUAGGGAAGAACAAAUGUGUAAGUAACUAUGCACGUCUUGACGGUACCUAAUCAGAAAGCCACGGCUAACUACGUG
rnacentral:rRNA from 1 species